CAGUCGCGUUCUCUGGGAUUCAGCCUUGCUUCUUGCUUGGUGCAUUUCCUAGUCUACGGGCCAGCGUCGAUUUCGGAGGUUGUAAAAUACUUGGGGAAAAGUAACUCUGCUUCGGGAGAGUGUUAUAGACCUUGAGAGAUGCGGCCUGCGGGAUCGAGGAUUGCAGCAAAUGCUUUUGGCUUGUUGCCUGAUCUUUGGACGUCACCUCGCUUGUAUCAACAUUCUUGGUACCGUGAGUAAUGUGCUUAUGGGUUAGAGCGAUACAAAAAUUU
rnacentral:rRNA from 1 species